AAUAAAUAAAUAAAAUAAGCUCUCAACCUCACGCCUAAACAAAACACAAUACCCACAAACCUCACGCCUCUUAGCCUCCCUCAUCAAUCGAAUCGUUUUUUUCUUCGCGCCAUUUUCAGUAAGGAGGAGAGUUCAUUCGUCGACUUCACCGACGUAAGGAAAAAGGGCUUUCCAAUGGCUCCAAUCGAAACCCAUUUCAGUGUACUAGUGCACUAAAGCAAAAAGAGAAGGGCAAGUGGAUUAAGAUGAAAGCUUGUGCAACUGACUUUAGUAUAUAAUAUGAGAUUGGUGGCAAAGAGACAGUUUUUGUGGUGCAACUUGAACUCAAAUCACUUUUUAUAAAGUAUGAGAAGACAUCAUUUAUAUAUAAAUGGUUGUAAUUACUUUGUGAACAACUCGGUUCAAUGGUUUUAAAAGUAUAAUGGUUCUUUAUUUCCUUUGUAAAUUGUAUGGAUGAUUUUUUUAUGGAUUUGGUUGGAAAUGAAUGGAUGAUUUGUUUAUGAA